UACGGGGGGGGCAAGCGUUGUUCGGAAUUACUGGGCGUAAAGGGUUCGUAGGUGGUCAACUUAGUCAGACGUGAAAUCCCUCGGCUUAACUGGGGAACUGCGUCUGAUACUGGAUGGCUUGAGUGCAGGAGAGGAACGCGGAAUUCCAGGUGUAGCGGUGAAAUGCGUAGAUAUCUGGAGGAACACCGGUGGCGAAGGCGGCGUUCUGGACUGCAACUGACACUGAUGAACGAAAGCCAGGGGAGCAAACGGG
rnacentral:rRNA from 1 species